rnacentral:ncRNA from 2 species
UGCAUCCUUCGGGGCAGGGUGAAAUUCCCGACCGGCGGUGAUGAGGCGACGCGCCUCUCAGCCCGCGAGCCUGAUUGGCACGAUCCGGUGCGAUUCCGGAGCCGACAGUAUAGUCUGGAUGGGAGAAGGAUGGC